ACUCAAAUGAAUAGACGGGGGCCCGCACAAGCAGCGGAGCGUGUGGUUUAAUUCGAGGCUACACGAAGAACCUUACCUGGGCUUGACAUGACGCUGAGUGGCGGUGAAAGCCGCCAGGCCGCAAGGCAGCGUCACAGGUGCUGCAUGGCUGUCGUCAGCUCGUGCCGUGAGGUGUUAGGUUAAGUCCUGUAACGAGCGCAACCCCCGGGGUCAGUUACACGCAGUCUGGCCCGACUGCCCGCGACAAGCGGGAGGAAGGUGGGGAUGAUGUCAAGUCAGCAUGGCCUUUAUGUCCAGGGCUACACACACGCUACAAUGGCCGGUACAAUGGGUCGCCAAGCCGCAAGGUGGAGCCAAUCCAACAAAGCCGGUCUCAGUUCGGAUUGUGGGCUGCAACCCGCCCACAUGAAGUCGGAGUUGCUAGUAACCGCCGGUCAGCCAUACGGCGGUGAAUACGUUCCCGGGCCUUGUACACACCGCCCGU
rnacentral:rRNA from 1 species